rnacentral:rRNA from 1 species
AGGGCGCACGGUGGAUGCCUUGGCACUAGGAGCCGAAGAAGGACGUGACAAACGACGAUAUGCCUUGGGUAGCUGUAAGUAAGCGAUGAUCCAGGGAUUUCCGAAUGGGGGAACCCAACAGGUACUACCUGUUACCCGCAUCUGUUAAGGAUGUGAGGAGGAAGACGCAGUGAACUGAAACAUCUAAGUAGCUGCAGGAAGAGAAAGCAAAAGCGAUUGCCUUAGUAGCGGCGAGCGAAACGGCAGGAGGGCAAACCGAAGAGUUUACUCUUCGGGGUUGUAGGACUGCAAUGUGGACUCAAAGAUUAUAGAAGAAUGAUUUGGGAAGAUCAGCCAAAGAGAGUAACAGCCUCGUAUUUAAAAUAGUCUUUGUACCUAGCAGUAUCCUGAGUACGGCGGGACACGUGAAAUCCCGUCGGAAUCUGGGAGGACCAUCUCCCAACCCUAAAUACUCCCUAGUGACCGAUAGUGAACCAGUACCGUGAGGGAAAGGUGAAAAGCACCCCGGGAGGGGAGUGAAAUAGAACCUGAAACCGUGUGCCUACAACAAGUUCGAGCCCGUUAAUGGGUGAGAGCGUGCCUUUUGUAGAAUGAACCGGCGAGUUACGAUAUGAUGCGAGGUUAAGUUGAAGAGACGGAGCCGUAGGGAAACCGAGUCUGAAUAGGGCGCAUUAGUAUCAUGACGUAGACCCGAAACCAUGUGACCUACCCAUGAGCAGGUUGAAGGUGCGGUAAAACGCACUGGAGGACCGAACCAGGGCACGUUGAAAAGUGCUUGGAUGACUUGUGGGUAGCGGAGAAAUUCCAAACGAACUUGGAGAUAGCUGGUUCUCUCCGAAAUAGCUUUAGGGCUAGCGUCGACAUAAAGAUUCUUGGAGGUAGAGCACUGUUUGGGUGAGGGGUCCAUCCCGGAUUACCAAUCUCAGAUAAACUCCGAAUGCCAAUGAAUUAUGGUCGGCAGUCAGACUGCGAGUGCUAAGAUCCGUAGUCGAAAGGGAAACAGCCCAGACCACCAGCUAAGGUCCCAAAAUAAUUGUUAAGUGGAAAAGGAUGUGGGGUUGCACAGACAACUAGGAUGUUAGCUUAGAAGCAGCUAUUCAUUCAAAGAGUGCGUAAUAGCUCACUAGUCGAGUGACCCUGCGCCGAAAAUGUACCGGGGCUAAAACAAUUUACCGAAGCUGUGGAUCCCUUAGGGGAUGGUAGGAGAGCGUUCUAUGUGUGGAGAAGGUGUACCGUGAGGAGCGCUGGAACGCAUAGAAGUGAGAAUGCCGGUAUGAGUAGCGAAAGACAGGUGAGAAUCCUGUCCACCGUAAGACUAAGGUUUCCAGGGGAAGGCUCGUCCGCCCUGGGUUAGUCGGGACCUAAGGAGAGACCGAAAGGUGUAUCCGAUGGACAACAGGUUGAUAUUCCUGUACUAGAGUAUGUAGUGAUGGAGGGACGCAGUAGGCUAACUAAAGCAGACGAUUGGAAGUGUCUGUCUAAGCAGUGAGGUGUGAUAUGAGUCAAAUGCUUAUAUCUAUAACAUUGAGCUGUGAUGGGGAGCGAAGUUUAGUAGCGAAGUUAGUGACGUCACACUGCCAAGAAAAGCUUCUAGCGUUUAAACAUACUCUACCCGUACCGCAAACCGACACAGGUAGUCGAGGCGAGUAGCCUCAGGUGAGCGAGAGAACUCUCGUUAAGGAACUCGGCAAAAUGACCCCGUAACUUCGGGAGAAGGGGUGCUGACUUUGGUCAGCCGCAGUGAAUAGGCCCAAGCAACUGUUUAUCAAAAACACAGCUCUCUGCUAAAUCGUAAGAUGAUGUAUAGGGGGUGACGCCUGCCCGGUGCUGGAAGGUUAAGAGGAGUGCUUAGGAGUAAUCCGAAGGUAUGAAUUGAAGCCCCAGUAAACGGCGGCCGUAACUAUAACGGUCCUAAGGUAGCGAAAUUCCUUGUCGGGUAAGUUCCGACCCGCACGAAAGGCGUAAUGAUUUGGGCACUGUCUCAACGAGAGACUCGGUGAAAUUUUAGUACCUGUGAAGAUGCAGGUUACCCGCGACAGGACGGAAAGACCCCAUGGAGCUUUACUGCAGUUUGAUAUUGAGUGUCUGUGCCACAUGUACAGGAUAGGUAGGAGCCUAUGAGAUCGGGACGCCAGUUUCGAUGGAGGCGUUGUUGGGAUACUACCCUUGUGUUAUGGCCACUCUAACCCGGUAGGUUUAUCAUCUACGGAGACAGUGUCUGACGGGCAGUUUGACUGGGGCGGUCGCCUCCUAAAAGGUAACGGAGGCGCCCAAAGGUUCC